rnacentral:tRNA from 1 species
GCCGAUGUGGCUCAAUGGUAGAGCAGGGCUUUCGUAAAGCUCAGGUUGGUGGUUCGAUUCCACUCAUCGGCUCCA